GAAUAUUGGACAAUGGGCGAAAGCCUGAUCCAGCCAUGCCGCGUGUGUGACGAAGGCCUUCGGACUGUAAACCACUUUAAGUCGGGAGGAAGGGCUGUAGAUUAAUACUCUGCAAUCUUGACGUUACCGACAGAAUAAGCACCGGCUAACUUCGUGCCAGCAGCCGCGGUAAUACGAAGGGUGCAAGCGUUAAUCGGAAUUACCGGGCGUAAAGCGCGCGUAGGUGGUUUGUUAAGUUGGAAGUGAAAGCCCCGGGCUCAACCUGGGAACUGCUUUCGAUACUGGCAAGCUAGAGUAUGGCAGAGGGAGGUAGAAUUUCCGGUGUAGCGGUGAAAUGCGUAGAGAUAGGAAGGAACACCAAUGGCGAAGGCAGCCACCUGGGAUAAUACUGACACUGAGGUGCGAAAGCGUGGGGAGCAAACAGG
rnacentral:rRNA from 1 species